UUUUCAAAAAUUUAUGUAAAAUCUUUUAUAUUAAUGUUGAUUACUCUUAAACAAAUAAAAUAUAUCUUAGGAGGAAAGAAGUUAUUAUCUGUGCGCGGAUGAAUUAAUAUUUUAAUUAAAAUAAGUUUAUUUAAUUUGUUAGGAUGUUCUUUAGUCAGUUACUACGGCUUUAGGUUGGGUUUAUAGCAUUUAAGAAAUUAAUAUAUGUAUAUAUAUAUAACCAGCGGGUAUUACCCGGCCAUGGCGGUAGCAAGGCUCCCCAAUUGAAUGGGAACAAAGGUCGUUGAAAAGGAGUUUGCGGCCGAUGGGAUGGGUUCGGGCAAACAGUUUUAUGUGUAGAGUAUAUACAUAAUACAACGCAUUGGUCAACAGAGUAUCUCACAGCACAGGCUGCCAGCUGCAAUUGGAUUACGUGUAUGUUUUUCCCAACAGUCACAACAUGGAAAAUGUGUGGGUAGGGGCAAACACUCCUACAUCUGCGAAGCUAUCAACUCUUGUAGCAGACUUCUCAAUCCCGGGAGCUGGUUAAGCUUUAUGCAGAGACAAUGAACUUUUAGCCCGGAUGUGGAACUGGACAUGGGCCGCACUGCAGCCGAAUGCUAAAUGCGUUUGCCCAGAGAUUUGCGCAGACUGUGUUGUCCGCUUUGGAGUAAUGUGGGAGGCUGCGGGAGCUCUAGUUGCGGUCAGGGACUAAGCAAAACGUACAUCGUGCCUGUCAGUGGCAGCUGUGGAAAAGCCCGACAAAACGAGAAGAAAAAAGGGAAAAAUCGCUGAUGAAAAUUGCUUGCAAGUGGUUUCUGUUUCUGCCCGCCCGUCCAUGUAAUGGUCGCUCGUUUUGCUUGUAAAACUUUUGGAUUAUUGUCAGCCCAACACGCACACCCGCGCUCACACACACACACACACUCACAUACAAUGUCCUAGCCUGGCCAUGUGCCAGCCGGGAAAAACUUUGCCCCGGACACGGACACGGCACAUGGCAAGUCGCGUUUGCUACGGCUCUUAACGGCAAAUUUUCGCAUAUUUUUCUCGGCGUAGGCGUCGCCACGUUGUCUCCGGCCUGCAACUGGAUUCGACGAACUGCAGUUGGAGUUGCACACACACCCGCCCACAUCUAUAAAAAUAGAGUGUGUGUGUGUGAGUUGUGGCAACAGCUGCUGCUUGCCCGGCGGCUGCUUGACUUGCAGCUUGUAAAUGGGCGCUAAGCUCCUUUGUU